rnacentral:rRNA from 1 species
CCUACGGGAGGCAGCAGUGAGGAAUAUUGGUCAAUGGCCGUAAGGCUGAACCAGCCAAGUCGCGUGAAGGAAGAAGGAUCUAUGGUUUGUAAACCUCUUUUAUAAGGGAAUAAAGUGCGGGACGUGUCCCGUUUUGUAUGUACCUUAUGAAUAAGGAUCGGCUAACUCCGUGCCAGCAGCCGCGGUAAUACGGAGGAUCCGAGCGUUAUCCGGAUUUAUUGGGUUUAAGGGGUGCGUAGGCGGCCUUUUAAGUCAGCGGUGAAAGUCUGUGGCUCAACCAUAGAAUUGCCGUUGAAACUGGGAGGCUUGAGUAUGUGUGAGGCAGGCGGAAUGCGUGGUGUAGCGGUGAAAUGCUUAGAUAUCACGCAGAACCCCGAUUGCGAAGGCAGCCUGCCAAGCCAUGACUGACGCUGAUGCACGAAAGCGUGGGGAUCAAACAGGAUUAGAUACCCGGGUAGUC